rnacentral:rRNA from 1 species
GACGAACGCUGGCGGCGUGCCUAACACAUGCAAGUCGAGCGAAGUGAGUACUACGGUACGAACUUAGCGGCGGACGGGUGAGUAACGCGUGGACAAUCUACCCUGUAGACUGGGAUAACACCUCGAAAGGGGUGCUAAUACCGGAUAAUGUCGAGAAGCGGCAUCGCUUUUCGAAGAAAGGAGAGAAUCCGCUAUAGGAGGAGUCCGCGUCCCAUUAGCUAGUUGGUGAGGGUAACGGCCCACCAAGGCGACGAUAGGUAGCCGGCCUGAGAGGGGGAACGGCCACACUGGAACUGAGUCACGGUCCAGACUCCUACGGGAGGCAGCAGUGGGGAAUAUUGUGAAAUGGGGGAAACCCUGACACAGCAACGCCGCGUGAGCGAAGAAGGCCUUCGGGUUGUAAAGCUCAAUAGUAUGGGAAGAUAAUGACGGUACCAUACGAAAGCCCCGGCUAACUACGUGCCAGCAGCCGCCGCAGUAA